rnacentral:rRNA from 1 species
GAUGAACGCUGGCGGCGUGCCUAAUACAUGCAAGUCGAGCGAACAGACGAGGAGCUUGCUCCUCUGACGUUAGCGGCGGACGGGUGAGUAACACGUGGAUAACCUACCUAUAAGACUGGGAUAACUUCGGGAAACCGGAGCUAAUACCGGAUAAUAUAUUGAACCGCAUGGUUCAAUAGUGAAAGACGGUUUUGCUGUCACUUAUAGAUGGAUCCGCGCCGCAUUAGCUAGUUGGUAAGGUAACGGCUUACCAAGGCGACGAUGCGUAGCCGACCUGAGAGGGUGAUCGGCCACACUGUAACUGAGACACGGUCCAGACUCCUACGGGAGGCAGCAGUAGGGAAUCUUCCGCAAUGGGCGAAAGCCUGACGGAGCAACGCCGCGUGAGUGAUGAAGGUCUUCGGAUCGUAAAACUCUGUUAUUAGGGAAGAACAAAUGUGUAAGUAACUAUGCACGUCCUGACGGUACCUAAUCAGAAAGCCACGGCUAACUACGUG